rnacentral:pre_miRNA from 1 species
AAAGUACUCCCUCCGUCCCAAAAUUGUUGUCUUAGAUUUGUCUAGAUACGGAUGUAUCAAGUCACAUUUUAGUAUUAGAUACAUCCGUAUCUAGACAAAUCUAAGACAAGAAAUUUGGGACAGAGGGAGUAGUUG